rnacentral:rRNA from 1 species
UACGAAGGGGGCUAGCGUUGCUCGGAAUCACUGGGCGUAAAGGGUGCGUAGGCGGGUCUUUAAGUCAGGGGUGAAAUCCUGGAGCUCAACUCCAGAACUGCCUUUGAUACUGAAGAUCUUGAGUGCGGGAGAGGUGAGUGGAACUGCGAGUGUAGAGGUGAAAUUCGUAGAUAUUCGCAAGAACACCAGUGGCGAAGGCGGCUCACUGGCCCGAUACUGACGCUGAGGCACGAAAGCGUGGGGAGCGAACAGG